GAUGAACGCUGGCGGCGUGCUUAACACAUGCAAGUCGAACGGAGCUUAUUUGAUAGAGACUUCGGUCAAUUGAUUAUAAGCUUAGUGGCGGACGGGUGAGUAACGCGUGAGGAAUCUGCCUUGGAGUGGGGAAUAACACAGUGAAAAUUGUGCUAAUACCGCAUAAUGCAGUUGAGUCGCAUGGCUCUGACUGCCAAAGAUUUAUCGCUCUGAGAUGACCUCGCGUCUGAUUAGCUAGUUGGUAGGGUAACGGCCUACCAAGGCGACGAUCAGUAGCCGGACUGAGAGGUUGGCCGGCCACAUUGGGACUGAGACACGGCCCAG
rnacentral:rRNA from 1 species